rnacentral:rRNA from 1 species
CCCCUAGACGUUCUGGGCUGCACGCGCGCUACAAUAAUACGCACAGCGAGUAUCACCGAGCUCGAAAGGGCAAGGUAAACAAUAGAAAAGGUACUGUAAUGGUUAUAGAUCCUUGUAAUUAUUGAUCUUCAACGAGGAAUUCCUAGUAAGUACGUGUCAUCAUCACGCACUGAUUACGUCCCUGCCCUUUGUACACACCGCCCGUCGCUCCUACCGAUUGGGUGAGCCGAUGAAACUCUCGGAUGUAGGCUAUUCAUAGCCCGCAGAAGAGAUUUGAAUCGUAGCGCUUAGAGGAAGGAGAAGUCGUAACA